CGGACUCAGACCAGCAGAUUCCCACUGUUUAUCCACUGUUUGUGUUGAUGCAGUGUUUGGCCAGCCACUUGUGUGUUUUGGGGGCUCAGACCAGCAGAUUCCUACUAUUUAUCCACUGUUUGUGUUGAUCUAGUGUUUGGCCAGCCACUUGUGUUUAUGUAGGGGAUUCAGACCAACAGAUUCCCACUGUUUAUCCACUGUUUGUGUUGAUCUAGUGUUUGGCCAGCCAGUUGUGUGUUUUGGGGGCUCAGACCAGCAGAUUCCCACUGUUUAUUCACUGUUUGUGUUGAUCUAGUGUUUGGCCAGCCACUUGUGUGUUUUGGGGCUCAGACCAGCAGAUUCUCACUGUUUAUUCACUGUUUGUGUUGAUCUAGUGUUUGGCCAGCCACUUGUGUGUAUGUAGGGGACUCAGACCAGCAGAUUCCCACUGUUUAUCCAUUGUUUGUGUUGAUGCAGUGUUUAGCCAGCCACUUGUGUGUAUGUAGGGGACUCAGACCAGCAGAUUCCCACUGUUUAUCCACUGUUUGUGUUGAUGCAGUGUUUGGCCAGCCACUGUGUGUAUGUAGGGGACUCAGACCAGCAGAUUCCCACUGUUUAUUCACUGUUUGUGUUGAUGCAGUAUUUGGCCAGCCACUUGUGUGUAUGUAGCGGACUCAGACCAGCAGAUUCCCACUGUUUAUCCACUGUUUGUGUUGAUGCAGUGUUUGGCCAGCCACUUGUGUGUUUUGGGGGCUCAGACCAGCAGAUUCCUACUAUUUAUCCACUGUUUGUGUUGAUCUAGUGUUUGGCCAGCCACUUGUGUUUAUGUAGGGGACUCAGACCAGCAGAUUCCCACUGUUUAUCCACUGUUUGUGUUGAUCUAGUGUUUGGCCAGCCAUUUGUGUGUUUUGGGGGCUCAGACCAGCAGAUUCCCACUGUUUAUUCACUGUUUGUGUUGAUCUAGUGUUUGGCCAGCCACUAGUGUGUUUUGGGGGCUCAGACCAGCAGAUUCUCACUGUUUAUUCACUGUUUGUGUUGAUCUAGUGUUUGGCCAGCCACUUGUGUGUAUGUAGGGGACUCAGACCAGCAGAUUCCCACUGUUUAUUCACUGUUUGUGUUGAUGCAGUAUUUGGCCAGCCACUUGUGUGUAUGUAGCGGACUCAGACCAGCAGAUUCCCACUGUUUAUCCACUGUUUGUGUUGAUGCAGUGUUUGGCCAGCCACUUGUGUGUUUUGGGGCUCAGACCAGCAGAUUCCUACUAUUUAUCCACUGUUUGUGUUGAUCUAGUGUUUGGCCAGCCACUUGUGUUUAUGUAGGGGACUCAGACCAGCAGAUUCCCACUGUUUAUCCACUGUUUGUGUUGAUCUAGUGUUUGGCCAGCCACUUGUGUGUAUGUAGGGGACUCAGACCAGCAGAUUCCCACUGUUUAUUCACUGUUUGUGUUGAUCUAGUGUUUGGCCAGCCACUUGUGUGUAUGUAGGGGACUCAGACCAGCAGAUUCCCACUGUUUAUCCAUUGUUUGUGUUGAUGCAGUGUUUGGCCAGCCACUUGUGUGUAUGUAGGGGACUCAGACCAGCAGAUUCCCACUGUUUAUCCACUGUUUGUGUUGAUGCAGUGUUUGGCCAGCCACUUGUGUGUAUGUAGGGGACUCAGACCAGCAGAUUCCCACUGUUUAUUCACUGUUUGUGUUGAUGCAGUGUUUGGCCAGCCACUUGUGUGUAUGUAGGGGACUCAGACCAGCAGAUUCCCACUGUUUAUCCACUGUUUGUGUUGAUGCAGUGUUUGGCCAACCACUUGUGUGUUUUGGGGGCUCAGACCAGCAGAUUCCUACUAUUUAUCCACUGUUUGUGUUGAUCUAGUGUUUGGCCAGCCACUUGUGUUUAUGUAGGGGACUCAGACCAGCAGAUUCCCACUGUUUAUCCACUGUUUGUGUUGAUCUAGUGUUUGGCCAGCCACUUGUGUGUUUUGGGGGCUCAGACCAGCAGAUUCCCACUGUUUAUUCACUGUUUGUGUUGAUCUAGUGUUUGGCCAGCCACUAGUGUGUUUUGGGGGCUCAGACCAGCAGAUUCUCACUGUUUAUUCACUGUUUGUGUUGAUGCAGUGUUUGGCCAGCCACUUGUGUGUAUGUAGGGGACUCAGACCAGCAGAUUCCCACUGUUUAUCCAUUGUUUGUGUUGAUGCAGUGUUUGGCCAGCCACUUGUGUGUAUGUAGGGGACUGAGACAAGUUUAUUUAAUGUUCAGUGACCCGUUUGCAGGCACAGGGGUGUUGACGAGCUGGGUGUGCAGGAGACAGACAAUUACAAAGGUUUACAGUUCAAAUGGUACAUGUAUCUUCAAAAUACAGAUAAUAAGUAGAUAAAUAUUGAAAUUAAUAUAGAAUACCAUUCUUUAUUUAACACUUAACCAAACUUAACCAACAUACACACACACGCUAACUCAGACAGUUCCCUAACUACCUUACCAUCCCGCAGGAGGCCAUGUCGGAGGUGCCGGUGGUGGGGUCGCCAGUUCCGGAGUACGAGGUGGAGGAGGAAAAGGAAGAGGAGGACGAGGAGGAGGCACGGAUAAGGAAGAAGAAAAGAUUAUUACCUGUAGCCCUCCCUCCAGCUGAUAAGGGGAUAUUAAGGAGCCCUUCCUACAGGUUCGUUCGAUGCAAGGAGUUGGCACAGGAGGCGUCCGAGGCUGUGUAGAGCGGCCGUCUGAACCUGGUGCCACAGCUUACUAUGUUCAACAGGUGCGUGUGUGUGUGUGUGUGUGUGUGUGUGUGUGUGUGUGUGUGUGUGUGUGUGUGUGUGUGUGUGUGUGUUUUGUGUGGUCAUUUCACUAUCUAUCUAUCUGUUUAGUUUGUCUCCAUCUGUCUGUCUUUCUGUCAUUGGUCUGUCUGUCUGUCUGUGUAUUGCAAUGAUUUUUCAGUUAUGUAUUUUAUUUUUUAUUCUUGUGUACUUGUGUCUGUCUGUAUGUAUGUAUGUAUCAGUCAGUGAGUCAGUCAGUCAGUCACUCAGUUAGUCAGUUAGUCAGUCAUUCAGUCAGUCAGUUAGUCAGUCAUUCAGUCAGUUAGUGAGUUAGUCAGUUAGUCAGUCUGUCAGUCACUCACACAGUGUUAAUCCUCCUCUUCCUCCUCCUCCUCCUCCUCCUCCUCCUCCUCCUCCUCCUCCUCCUCCUCCUCCUCCUCCUCCUCCUCCUCCUCCUCGUCCACCUCCUCCUCCUCCUCCUCCUCCUCCUCCUCCUCCUCCUCCUCCUCCUCCUCCUCCUCCUCCUCCUCCUCCUCCUGUUCCCCACCACCCCUGCCGAGAGGUGAGUGUAUGUACGUGUGUGUGUGUGUGUGUGUGUGUGUGUGUGUGUAGUAAUAAUAGUAAUGCUAUGUACAUAUAUAAAUACUGUUAAUAUUAUUGAUAAAAAAUAUUGAUGAUGAUGAUGAUGAUGAUUCAGUGGUGAUUAUGAAAAUGUGCAUUACAAUAUAGGGUAGAUAUUAUUGUUAUUACCUGUGUGUGUGUGUGUGUGUGUGUGUGUGUGUGUGUGUGUGUGUGUGUGUGUGUGUGUGUGUGUGUGUGUGUGUGAGGAAUAAUUGAAUAAUUGAAUAAUUGAUGCUCUCUCCUUUGCUAUUCAUUAUAUACAUGGACAGAUGCCUGAAGGAAGUGUGUGUAAGGGAGGAUAAAGAGAUCAUGCUGGCCUAUGCAGACGAUGUCGCUGUCGUGACAGGAAGCCAACAAGAUCUUCAAGAGGCCAUGACAAGAUGGAAUGAUGUUUUAAAUAGGGAAGGAAUGAGAAUGAACAAACAAAAAACUUAUUUACUAGUGGACAAGCAACAAGUGAUGGUGUGGCUCUGAGCCACUGUAGUAGGGAUGUUAUGGUUUAAGUGUAGGAAGUUGCAAAUGCUCACCUAACAAUUGCACCUUAGUAGAAAAACACAAACAGGAAGUUUAUGCAAGUUUUUAUCCUUAUAUAAAAUGUUGUAUUGCAUCAAACCUCCAUACAUUACUGUCUCUAUCCAGUAUGAGACCGGUGUUCAGGAAGCACAAGCAUGUGCUGAAUAACAAGAAGCCGGCAUUGGUGAAGGUGACAACAUUUCAUCUAUUUAUACAUACUUUUUAUUAUUAAAGCUUAUCUUAUAAUUAUUUCUGAAGAGAUUGACUAAUUUUUGUAGUAUUUAUGACUUAGAACUAUGAUAAAGCUAUGAAUUGAUAUAAUUCCUGAUUUG